rnacentral:rRNA from 1 species
UGGGGAAUUUUGGACAAUGGGCGAAAGCCUGAUCCAGCAAUGCCGCGUGUGUGAAGAAGGCCUUCGGGUUGUAAAGCACUUUUGUCCGGAAAGAAAUCCUUGGCUCUAAUACAGUCGGGGGAUGACGGUACCGGAAGAAUAAGCACCGGCUAACUACGUGCCAGCAGCCGCGGUAAUACGUAGGGUGCAAGCGUUAAUCGGAAUUACUGGGCGUAAAGCGUGCGCAGGCGGUUUGCUAAGACCGAUGUGAAAUCCCCGGGCUCAACCUGGGAACUGCAUUGGUGACUGGCAGGCUAGAGUAUGGCAGAGGGGGGUAGAAUUCCACGUGUAGCAGUGAAAUGCGUAGAGAUGUGGAGGAAUACCGAUGGCGAAGGCAGCCCCCUGGGCCAAUACUGACGCUCAUGCACGAAAGCGUGGGGAGCAAAACAGGAUUAGAUACCCUGGUAGUCCACGCCCUAAAACGAUGUCAACUAGUUGUUGGGGAUUCAUUUCCUUAGUAACGUAGCUAACGCGUGAAGUUGACCGCCUGGGGAGUACGGUCGCAAAGAUUAAAACUCAAAUGAAUUGACGGGGUCAUAGCUGUUUCCU